rnacentral:rRNA from 1 species
UACGAAGGAUCCAAGCGUUAUCCGGAUUUAUUGGGUUUAAAGGGUGCGUAGGCGGGCUAUUAAGUCAGUGGUGAAAGCCCCAAGCUUAACUUGGGAAUUGCCAUUGAUACUGAUGGUCUUGAGUACACUUGAAGUGGGCGGAAUGUGUCAUGUAGCGGUGAAAUGCUUAGAUAUGACACAGAACACCGAUUGCGAAGGCAGCUCACUAAACUUUAACUGACGCUGAGGCACGAAAGCGUGGGGAGCAAACAGG